UUGAAUUCUGGUUAAAAUAAUCAAUCAAUAGUUUCCAAAAAUACUUUUUCGAUGUGCCUAUUUCAAAGGAACAUUGAAAAAUCCUAUUUAAAAUCACGUAUACGAGAAGAAAAAAACGCACAAAAGUUGACUUUUUCAAGCAGAUUUUCAUAGGGAGUGGGCCAAGUCUCCAUUGUGAACUGAGUAAGAUAUUUUAGUACAUGUCAGGUGUAAAAUAUUUUGUAAAUAAAAGUAUGGAGACUUGACCGACUCUAUGAAAAAAAUUACUUCUUGUAUAUAACGUUUGUCGUAUUAUUAAGAAAGUGUUUAUGUCCACAUCGGGUGACUUUAAAUAGCUAGAAAUUCGAACAGUAUUCAUUGGAUGGAUAGCCGAGGUUGUAUAGCGACAGUCUCAUUGAAGUUUUGGAUAGGCACAUAUUGCAUAUUUUUGGUUCAAAUACCAAUUGUUCCAAUCUAAUUAAAAUUAAAUCCUAUGAUCGACUCAUCUAUUAUCGCUACACAUAGGAUCUAACAACUCCGUGUUAGGGGUCACCUCAGGAUGACCUAUGAUGCUAUCCAAUCAGAGUGUCGCUCGAUCUCUCGGAACAACAUACCCUUUCUAAAGCAUCCCGAUAAAUCAGCAUAAAUAAUAAACAAUAUGGCCGCGCCAUCAAUUUCGCUGAUAGCACCACAUAGAUCUGGAUUUCGAGGGUGCACUCUGAUUAAUGUAUGCUGUUUUUGUGGGUUUUCUUGUUUUGUGAAAGAGGCGGAUGGUGAGGGUAAUGUUCUGAUAGAGAAAUUGGUCAGAAUGAAAAUGACAGACGAAUCAGCAAUACACGUGUUUGUGAAAUGUUUCUGUAAGAAAAAAUAAAAUAAUAUAGAAGGAAAAUAAAUGACAUAUCACAGUGUGAAGAAAGCAGAAGGAGAUUCAAGUUCUAAACACCAGGAUCAACUUCAUGCAGCUUCAAGGAAAAAACGACAACUGCGAGUCUGCAAUCACUAGAGGCUGACGCGGUCCACAAACUGACCUAUGACACAGAAAGAGGAUGUGAUCCUUGCACCAUGUAUUACUACAGAAUCCUUUUGAAUGCGAGAUGUGUAAAGAGACAUGUGGGUAACUCUACAGAUCCUCGUCAUGUUUAUGUCUACAGUAUCUACAUUCUUUGAGAUCAAGUACUGCUCUGACAAUCAACCAUGUCAAUAAAAUUCUUUUCAUAUACACAUAAUAACUGUAUGUUAUGAUGUUUAUAUCUCAUAAAAUAUAUCUUAAAAUGUUA